UACGAAGGGGGCUAGCGUUGUUCGGAAUUACUGGGCGUAAAGCGCGCGUAGGCGGCCUUCUAAGUCGGACGUGAAAUCCCUCGGCUUAACCGAGGAACUGCGUCCGAUACUGAAAGGCUUGAAUCCGGGAGAGGGAUGUGGAAUUCCAGGUGUAGCGGUGAAAUGCGUAGAUAUCUGGAGGAACACCGGUGGCGAAGGCGGCAUCCUGGACCGGUAUUGACGCUGAGGCGCGAAAGCUAGGGGAGCAACGGG
rnacentral:rRNA from 1 species